UGUUACAGGUUGGACUGGAGAUGCCUGUGAUAUCCCUGACUGUCCUGGUGGCUGUGAGGGCAAUGGUUUCUGUAAUGGAACAGAUAGGGUUCUUCCUGAAUGUGCAUGCCUGGAGGGUUGGUACACAGAAGACUGUAGUAAACCCUGUGAGAAUGGCUGGGUGAAUGCUGACAACAGCUUUUGUAACUGUUUGGAUUGUUAUACUGGAGCAGGUUGUGAACUGGAAUGUUCUGGAAAUGGAAUCUGUGUUAAUUCAACAUGUGACUGUUUUACAACCGAACCAGGAAACAGCUGGGUGGGUGAACUAUGUGAGGAAACAGGUUGUCCUGGUGAGGAUGGAGCAUGUAACCAACAGGGAAGUUGUAACAGUGCCCUAGGUGUAUGUACAUGUUACCCAGGGUGGAGAGGAGAUGACUGUGCCACACCCAC